GUGAGUUCCAUUUUUACGGUUUUUUCAUCAUGAACAUUUCAGUGUGCUUCUUAGAUAAGAGCAGUCAGUUUCUUUAUGGAAUCGUGUGGUCCUGGCACGGUGAUUCUUGUGCCAAUGCUGACCUUUGUCCAUGACGGAAGAGGGACUUCCAUCAACGUUCUUCUCCAUCCUUAUCUUCGCGACGCACGCUCAUCUAGCUUCACUGCUUCUAAACACAAUUGGUUUUACUUCACUGGCGACUUGGUGAGUUUCUGGAUCACUUCAGUGAUCGCUUCCGUCCGCUGUUACACACCUGAAGUCCCUCACCACGGGAUUAUGGCCAGGUAAUGCAGAGGAAACCUCGAGAAGAUGGACACCAAAACGCCGCUGGUA